rnacentral:rRNA from 1 species
UGGGGAAUUUUGGACAAUGGGCGAAAGCCUGACCCAGCAACGCCGCGUGAAGGAUGAAGUAUUUCGGUAUGUAAACUUCGUAAGAAUAGGAAGAAUAAAUGACGGUACUAUUUAUAAGGUCCGGCUAACUACGUGCCAGCAGCCGCGGUAAUACGUAGGGACCAAGCGUUGUUCGGAUUUACUGGGCGUAAAGGGCGCGUAGGCGGCAAUUCAAGUCAUCUGUGAAAUCUCCGGGCUUAACUCGGAACGGUCAGAUGAUACUGCUUUGCUAGAGUGCAGAAGGGGCAAUCGGAAUUCUUGGUGUAGCGGUGAAAUGCGUAGAUAUCAAGAGGAACACCUGAGGUGAAGACGGGUUGCUGGGCUGACACUGACGCUGAGGCGCGAAAGCCAGGGGAGCAAACGGGAUUAGAUACCCUUGUAGUCCCUGAGCGGGCUGGCAAGGCGCAU